AUUGAACGCUGGCGGCAUGCCUUACACAUGCAAGUCGAACGGCAGCGCGGGGCAACCUGGCGGCGAGUGGCGAACGGGUGAGUAAUAUAUCGGAACAUACCCUAGAGUGGGGGAUAACGUAGCGAAAGUUACGCUAAUACCGCAUACGCACUAAGGUGGAAAGUGGGGGAUUCGCAAGAACCUCAUGCUCAUGGAGUGGCCGAUAUCUGAUUAGCUAGUUGGUGAGGUAAAGGCUCACCAAGGCAACGAUCAGUAGCUGGUUUGGGAGAACGACCAGCCACACUGGAACUGAGACACGGUCCAGACUCCUACGGAGGCAGCAGUGGGAAUUUGGACAAUGGGGGCAACCCUGAUCCAGCAAUGCCGCGUGAGUGAAGAAGGCCUCGGUUGUAAGACUCUUUG
rnacentral:rRNA from 1 species